CAGAAGGGGUGCAGUGUAUUUCUCUGUUUAUCAAGGAUAUCAGGUUUAAGAAUAUUUCCUUUCCCGACAGUUGAUGAGUUCAUUUAUCACACUUAAGUCCGGUUUACUUUGGCUCCGGCUGGCUGAGAGAGAGCAGGGUUUUUGUUUUUGUAAGACAGCUGACCUGGUUUUUUAUUUAUUAUGAUCGGCUCUCCGGAAUUAAUUGCAUCAUAAACGUUCGAGCCAAAUUCAGGAAAGUUUUAAAAAUGUUUAAUGAUCUGGCUCUUUUCCUACUUUCCUCUUCUUCCUCAGAGAGGAACAGCAGGUAAACACAGGUGUUAUCAAUAAUAGGUCAACCUCCAUUAGUAUCAUCAGACACACCUGAGCCUGGCUGCUGUGUGCAGGCACCUGUAGCAGAGACAACAUAACAACCUGCAGAUGACAGUGUAAUUAGCCGAUUGUGUGGAAGCCAAACUUCUCCCCCAGCUUCUUUUUUCCUGUGAACAACUGAGUGCGAGACGGUACGGAUCACCACCAACGGGUUUGACGUGGAUCAUCAGUGGAUCUGAGACCAGGCUGUUUAUUUCUGCUGUGAAGUUUUUAAAACAUGGGGACUUAUGGAGACUGACUCACUUCUGGAGCCAGCCUCGACCACGCUUGACGCCGCCUCAUUGCUACCUUAAACACAACCAUAAAUGUGGUGAUGCAAACAGAACAAAAAGAACAUUUAAGGUCCACUUACUGGGUUUUUGCUGCGUUUCAUGAGCUUCAUCAGCAGACAGAGAGAGCAUUUAAAGGUUUAGAUGCAGCUUAAGAUCAACUACUAUUCCUAAGUAGCUUAACACUCAACGUUUAGUGAAGAUUGUGCAGAACAUUUCCUCAGUAUGUUGAUAAAAACAUCAUCUGGGCAGGCAUUAAAUGUAUUUAGCUAAUUCAUUUGUUAGAUAAAUCUGUAAAUACAAAGCACGAAGCAGAAAAUAUGUUGUAUAUCUGCAGGAAAAACAACUUUCUCGAUCUAAUGUGUUCUCUUGAUUUACACUCAGACACUCAAUCAGCAUAUACAGA